UCCAAGAACUGAUGUCAAUCGACUACAGUCAGUUACAGAGCAGCUACAAAAUACUGAGAGAAAAUCACAGCCAGUUACAGGAAGAAGUGAAGCAGCUGAGGGACAAAAUUGAAGGUAAAUGGUGUCCUGAUGGAUGGAGGAGAUUUG